rnacentral:rRNA from 1 species
UAUGGGGGGGCUGACCAGCCAUGCAAGUCGAGCGAUGAAACCCCUUCGGGGGUGGAUUAGCGGCGGACGGGUGAGUAACACGUGGGUAACCUGCCUCAAAGUGGGGGAUAGCCUUCCGAAAGGAAGAUUAAUACCGCAUAAAGCCAAGUUUCACAUGGAAUUUGGAUGAAAGGAGUAAUUCGCUUUGAGAUGGACCCGCGGCGCAUUAGUUAGUUGGUGGGGUAAUGGCCUACCAAGACAGCGAUGCGUAGCCGACCUGAGAGGGUGAUCGGCCACAUUGGAACUGAGAUACGGUCCAGACUCCUACGGGAGGCAGCAGUGGGGAAUAUUGCACAAUGGGCGAAAGCCUGAUGCAGCAACGCCGCGUGAGUGAUGAAGGUCUUCGGAUUGUAAAGCUCUGUCUUUUGGGACGAUAAUGACGGUACCAAAGGAGGAAGCCACGGCUAACUACGUGCCAGCAGCCGCGGUAAUACGUAGGUGGCGAGCGUUGUCCGGAUUUACUGGGCGUAAAGGGUGCGUAGGCGGAUGUUUAAGUGAGAUGUGAAAUACCCGGGCUUAACUUGGGUGCUGCAUUUCAAACUGGAUAUCUAGAGUGCAGGAGAGGAGAAUGGAAUUCCUAGUGUAGCGGUGAAAUGCGUAGAGAUUAGGAAGAACACCAGUGGCGAAGGCGAUUCUCUGGACUGUAACUGACGCUGAGGCACGAAAGCGUGGGUAGCAAACAGGAUUAGAUACCCUGGUAGUCCACGCCGUAAACGAUGAGUACUAGGUGUAGGAGGUAUCGACCCCUUCUGUGCCGCAGUAAACACAUUAAGUACUCCGCCUGGGAAGUACGAUCGCAAGAUUAAAACUCAAAGGAAUUGACGGGGGCCCGCACAAGCAGCGGAGCAUGUGGUUUAAUUCGAAGCAACGCGAAGAACCUUACCUGGACUUGACAUCCCCUGAAUAACCUAGAGAUAGGCGAAGCCCUUCGGGGCAGGGAGACAGGUGGUGCAUGGUUGU